rnacentral:misc_RNA from 1 species
ACACCUCAACUCUUCAUGGUUUUCCGUGAUGAGUUUGGACUUUGGGGGUCUUGCUGGCCUACGGUCAGCUCCUCUAAAAUGAAUCAGCUUGCCAGUGUUUGGUGGGUAUCAUAGGUGUGAUAACUAUCUACGCUUGUGGUUCUUCCAUCAGGUAACCUUCAGCAGUGGAGGUUCACUGGAGCUCACAGAUGUCUCUCCUCAGUGAGGACAGCCCUUUGAAU